GUUAGGGUGGCAGAGACAAGCAAUGCAAAAGACCUAAGCUCUUUUAACAGAAGUUCAAAUCUUCUCCUUAACC
rnacentral:tRNA from 1 species